UGUUUCUGCAGAAAUUCUAGGCUGGUGAUUCUCUUGCAUUGACAAUUUAUAUUCUACUCUCCAGUGUUACUGGUGCCCAAGAAGGAUUCAUCCAAAUUCCUAAUGAUCCACAAUCUCGCCUUCUUCAACGGGCAUUACCUGGAACAUCCUCAUUACUUUCAACUGACUGCUCAUGACCAAAUUCAAUGCCAACGAUUUCCAGAUCAGUCUCAACCUCAAAGACGCUUAUCUUACCAGGGUUCUGCAGAAGAUCAAAAACACACCAAAUCUAUCAUUGAUUUUGAUUGCGCCUUGGUGGCCAGCACGAAAUUGUUUCGUGGAUCUCCGAGACCUUGCCAGUCACGACCCUCUCGAGCUAACCCAGUUGGCCACUUCUACUGGUGCAUUCCCAGUCAGUUGCCGCACCCAGCUCCAGACAUGUUUUGUCCUCACACUUGGUACAUCUCCACUGGGCCCUAGGUGCCAAAGGCAACUCAGCCAGAACGGUGAAGGCUAUUGCCUUAGCAAUUUGAUCUUCGACACAUACUCUGUAUGAUGACAAGUGGUGUUCUUUUGAAUCCUUCUGUAAAAAGACACAGAACCAUAUGUCGGCGUCACUGCAAUUUAUGGCCGAAUUCUAUCUCCGCAACAAACGUCACCUCAAGGGUAGUACCAUAACAUCUCUGGUUGCCCUCAAUUCUGUGCUGGCAGUUCCUACAGAUGGCAGAAAGACCAAGAUCCUGGAAUUUCAUUCACUAUUGUGGUUGUUUUUUCUGGAGGAUCAACGUGCCAAGUUUUGUCCCCCAGCCUGGGAUUUCAACAUGGUAUUGAAGUCGCUCCAUACCGCUCCCUUUGAAUCACUCAAUUGUUCAUUUUUCUUCAAUGUUACCAAAAAGGCAUGAGCUUGGCUUCAGAUACGGCGGCUCAAGUCAGCGAGUUACAUGCCCUUGACAUUUCCUUAGUAUGGUUCGAGUGCAGAGCUCAUGGUCCUGUCCAUCUUGGGCUGUGCUGAGAUUUCAUUGCUAAGAAUCAACACCCAGGACAGCCGGACAGAUCUUUCACCGUUCCUCCCUUAUCAUCGAUAGUGGGUUCCGAGGAAGAGGGUGAACUACUUCUGUGCCCAGUUUGAGCCUCAAGGGUUUUUUCGUCCGUCGAUCCAAGACAACGUGAAUCUUGAAAAUGACUGUUCAUUCAGGUCUUGCCUCCAUCCCAUAUGGAAGUUAGUUGUAACACUAUUUCAUUGUGGUUGCGCUCCAUUAUCCUGCAGGCUUACGAUCUAGCCGGUAUAGACACGUUUGGAGCCAACAACCCCCGUUGGAUUCGAGCCCUUGCUUCUGUGGGAGGGUGUAUGCCACACAACUGGUUGGUACAACAAUUUCUGUAGCCAGGACCUCACAUCUCCAUCUUCCUUGUCAAGAACAGCAGUAAAAGCAUUAAGGUAGUAAUGCAGGAUAAGUAUCUUAAUGUAAACAGUAUUUACAUUUUACUCAAAUGAACACAUGAAUGAAACACACGUCGAAUUAAAAAAUUAUGUAUAUAUAAAGGCAGUGUGAUUUGUAUGUUUAGGUGGAUCGAUGUUCAUGAUGUCAAUCACUGGAUUGUCUCGUCCAGACUUGAUUAUUUACAUACAGCCAUCAUAUAGCUGGAGUAUUGCUGAGGGCGGUGUUAAACAACAAACAAUUAAACACCCAAACUUGGAGUUUGCACGGGUAGCAUCUUGGGACCACACUGAAGGUGCACUUGUUACUGUGUGGGUAUGCAGUCCGUGGCAGAGGAGUGCUGUCUGGAUGUCCAUCAGUAACAAGCUUGAUACAUGAACAUCUGACUGCAACAGCUGCAUCACCACUCACCUUGGCCUCCAUGAGGUCUCCCCAAGCCAAUACAGAAUCAAAUACUCAAGAAAAGUGGAAACCUUAGAACCCCACAAUCAAGGAAAGGAAUCUGUCUACACCUUGUAAAUAUUGUUCACUUUGGGGAUUUGGAAGAAUCAGAGGAAAGUUAUUUCAUCUUGAGUUGUCCAGCAACUCCUCUACAUGGCAUAGUGGCUGUAACGACAAUGGAAAAAUAUGAAAACCUUGGUUUAGUUGGAGAAGGGAGCUAUGGAAUGGUUCUUAAAUGUCGUCACAAAGAAAGUGGGCAACUUGUUGCCAUCAAGAAGUUCUUGGAAAGUGAAGAUGAUAAAAUGGUGAAGAAGAUUGCACUCAGAGAAGUGCGCAUGUUAAAACAACUUCGCCAUGAUCAUCUAGUGAAUCUUAUAGAAGUGUUCCGGAGAAAGAAAAGACUCUACCUUGUUUUUGAAUUUGUUGAUCAUACAGUUCUUGAUGAACUGGAAAAAUGCCCAAAUGGACUUGAUGAAAAUACUGUUCGCAAAAUUUUAUUCCAAGUUCUGAAAGGAAUCGAAUUUUGCCACACACAUAAUGUAAGUAUAGAAAGAACAUUUUGUAGGUACAUUAGAACAUAUUUUUAGCUCACCAGACUGAAAGUCAAGUGAGCUUAUGUUGUGUGAACUGUUCAUCAUUGUGGUUGUCUGUCCGUUGUAAUUCCCUUGGUUUGAAAAACAGAUAUAGCAAUCAUAUCUGUUCAUCCAUCUGUCUGUCCGCCGUCUGUUGUCUGUUUCCAGAGCAGAACUCCUGAACUGUCGAAUAUGUCUUGUUUCAACUUGCUGUACAGAUCAGUCUGGUGGUGAACAAGUGCCUUUUUAUAUAUUUCAGAUUUUUAUUUUUUAUAACUUUUUAUUAUAUCCGGCAUUACUACCUUAAUGCUUCUACUGCUGUUCUUUUGUCUUAGGAGGCGAAGCUGUGAGAGGUCCUGGCUACAGAAAUUGAUGUACCCACCAGUUGUGUGGCUUCCUUCCUCUUACAGCUACCAUGUGACCAGAAGUGGCGAGCUCAUGUAUAAUCACAUCACUAGUCAUCGGACUGACAAACCAGAAUGGAUCCUUUGCCUAUCACGUUGACAAUCCCUAAGUACAGUGCAAUCAUCACUAAUGGAGCAGUGCCUCUCCUCCCCACCAUCAUCUAUUGCUUUCACGCCCACUGUGUCCCCAUCUACGAUCACCUCUUUGUCCCUGACACGUCCAGUGUUGCUGCCUCACAUGCCUCCGGGUUUUGGCCCAUUCCCUACACUGUAUUUGGAUUCGCCUGGGUUCAUUGUAUGCAAUCCAUGUACCUGUCAUCUGUGGCUUAGGCUUCCAGAUCCAGAUCCUCUCACUCCAGAUGUGGGUUCCAUAGUCGUUCCCUGCUUCGUCGACAGUACAACUAUCAUUCUGACUCUUCGACGAGCUCAGUUGGCUUGUCCUUCGAGGUGACGGUGCUUAGACAUGCACCUGGGACUUAACCAAGUGCCAGAUUGAGUGGUGGACUGAGUGACGCGGUUGCUCCCUCCCUGGGUCCAAGUGUGGAUAAUAGGGAAACAAAUUGGUUUUCAUCUACAUCCAUCCGGAUCCCAUGCUCACAGAUUUGAUAUCGGCUUUGGAUGAUAUUUCUCCAAACUGUCCCUCACUCCGGCUUAUAAGGUGCGUUCGAAGCCGCAGACAAUGCUCAUACUCUGGACGAUCAUUAACAUCACAUGACAGGUUCUUCUAGGCCGACCCAUCUGCGUAUGCCCCAUACUCGGCUCACAUUUGUUGAGGCGGAAAUUCAGCGGUCACUCAAGCCCUUAUCUGUCUUGGACUCAUCUGCCAGAGUCAUUGAUCAGGAUCUUACAGAGGACAAUCCUAAUAGAGUUGUUCAUUUACGGACUAUAAUGUCAUUUAAAAAACGUCAAAUCAACCAUCUACGUAAUCAUCUCUGGGUGGCCUUGGGGGAGAUUACCACCACCUUGUACCUCGGUUAUCUCACCGAGUCAUGUGGUUAUACGAGACCUCGGCACCUGGAGAGGAAGGAAGCCACACAACUGGUGGGUACAACAAUUUCCGUCUCCUGAGUCAAAAGAACAGCAGUUGUUACUAAUUUCUCUUGGUUGGACUUACCGUAUUCAACAUAAUAAAUGCUCAGGACUCUCUCAAAAUUAGAAAUAGGGGGCUCUUAUUAGAAUAUAAUUUGGUGAGAAAAAAAGAGAGUUGAAAGAUUUAAAUUUCA